AUUGAACGCUGGCGGCAUGCUUUACACAUGCAAGUCGAACGGUAACAGGUUAAGCUGACGAGUGGCGAACGGGUGAGUAAUGCAUCGGAACGUGCCCGGUCGUGGGGGAUAACGCAGCGAAAGCUGCGCUAAUACCGCAUACGAUCUGAGGAUGAAAGCGGGGGACCGUAAGGCCUCGCGCGAUCGGAGCGGCCGAUGUCAGAUUAGGUAGUUGGUGGGGUAAAGGCUCACCAAGCCGACGAUCUGUAGCUGGUCUGAGAGGACGACCAGCCACACUGGGACUGAGACACGGCCCAGACUCCUACGGGAGGCAGCAGUGGGGAAUCUUGGACAAUGGGCGCAAGCCUGAUCCAGCAAUGCCGCGUGCAGGAAGAAGGCCUUCGGGUUGUAAACUGCUUUUGUACGGAGCGAAAAGGCUCUCUCUAAUACAGGGGGUUCAUGACGGU
rnacentral:rRNA from 1 species